GAUGAAGAACGUAGCGAAAUGCGAUAAGUAAUGUGAAUUGCAGAAUUCAGUGAAUCAUCGAAUCUUUGAACGCACAUUGCGCCCGCCAGUAUUCUGGCGGGCAUGCCUGUUCGAGCGUCAUUACAACCCUCAGGCCCCCGGGCCUGGCGUUGGGGAUCGGCGGAGCCCCCCGUGGGCACACGCCGUCCCCCAAAUGCAGUGGCGGUCCCGCCGCAGCUUCCAUCGCGUAGUAGCUAACACCUCGCGACUGGAGAGCGGCGCGGCCACGCCGUAAAACACCCAACUCUCCAAGGUUGACCUCGGAUCAGGUAGGACUACCCGCUGAACUUAAGCAUAUCAAUAAGCGGAGGA
rnacentral:misc_RNA from 1 species